AUUUAUCCACACUAUCCAUAUGACCAACCAUAUGCAUAUCCAUCAUCACAUCGAGUACCCUAUUUGCCACCCCCCUAUGUUGGCUAUACAAGCACCAACAUGCAAGAUGCUUACAAUGUGCAGGCUCAAGGAUAUGCGACAUAUGGUGCCUAUGGCGCAUAUGGGGCCUAUGGAGCCUAUGGCAAUAGCUCAUAUCAACAGGAUGAGACUGAAGAAUAAACUCCAUGUGGUAUGUAUCGUGUGAACUACUAUGUAUUAUGUAUAUUGACGAUGAUGGUUUGUAAGGACUACGGUUGUGAUGAUUUGUAUGGACUAUGAUUGUGAUGACUUGUAUAGACUGUAGUUGUGAUGAUUUGCAUGGACUAUUGUUGUGAUGAUCUAUAUGGACUAUGGAUGUGAAUUUCUAUUUUUAUGGAUAUGAACUUCUAUUC